GCGGGAGUGGCGCAACUGGCAAACGCGCAGCGCUCAGAACGCUGUGGGUGUAAACCCUUGGGGGUUCAACUCCCCCCUCCCGCACCA
rnacentral:tRNA from 1 species